CUAGUUUCUCACGGCCGGAGAGGGAAGUUACAGAUAAACAAGACAGGAAAGCUAGAAUGAGCCCUGUGGGACUGGACUCAGUUACACUCAUGUUUAACCAGAUGGAUAAAUACAGAAAUAAUUACAGAGAUGUGUAGAUGCAUAGGUUUCCUAGCGCUAUCCACUGAACGGGCCUAGAAGCAAGGCCAACCGGGACAAGACCUUCGUAAAGAAUUCCAAAUAAUGUCUGUAGAUGCACCCCCACCAGAAGGGGGAGCUCAGUUCCCAUCCUCCCAGCCCCUGCCUCCAGCCCUAGAGUGUGAGCUCCACUUAGUGAUUUGCUUCCCAGGAAGAGAAUAUAGAAAGGGGACCAAAAAGAGUCACUUUCCAAUGGAGAAACCUGGCAAACACGACCCCGGCCAGGCGAUCAAGGUCAACAUCACCAACAAGUCAGGUGGGCACCCCUGCGGCGGCGGCAUAAGAAGGGCACGUCGACUCCUUCUCACUAUAAGGAAAAUAUCAGAGAAACCCAAAAUGAGGCGCAAUCUACAAAAUAUCUGACCGGCACUCCUCAGUACUCUCAACGUCACGAAAAACAAGGAGAGACAAGCCAUCAUAAACCGGAAGACACUAAGAAGACCCGGAGGAUAGAUGUCAUCGAGCGUCCUGAAUGGGACCCAGGACAGAAAAGGACAGGAGCGGAUACAUGAGUAAAAUCUGAAUCAAGGAUAGAGUUUAACUCACAGUGACGCACCCACGUUGGUUUCUUAUUGUGUGGCAAAUGUACCCUAGUAAUGUACAACACUGACAAUGGAGAAAACUGAUAUGAGGGAUACAUGGGAACUCUCUGUUCCAUCUUUGCAGCUUUUCUGUAAAUCUAAAACCAUUCUGAAAUAAAAAGGUACUUUUCAAAAGGAUGAGAUGAAAACAGAUGUAAUAUUCUUCCUGUGUUCCAGUAGCAUGUCACCACCGUGCUAUUCUAACGCCGGAUGCAGGGCUCACAGACCCAGGCCUCUAAGAGUCCAGAGGGGGAAGAAGAGUGUGACGGAGGCAAGUGGACAGCCAGGCAGAGGCGGGACUGUGGCCGGCUGGGAAGCACGUGACUGUCUAAGGCAUCCUAAAGCAAAAUAUUCCGAAAGAGAAAACAGAAACCUGCGGGUCCAGCCAGUUUGCUUCCUCUAAGCUGAGGUAUAGAUAUUGGAAACCAGAAUGCAAUUUUCACAAUGGAAUUAAUUACAGUUGUUUAUGUAGUUUCUUGAGAGAAGGUCUCCCGUCCUAUAUUUCCCAAACACUGUUCACCUGCUGAUCUGCCUUGAUGUAAAAAACAACAAACAAACAAAACUGUUUCUGGAUUUUUCCAAGGAUACUGCCUCCACUGAUUUUUUUAUAACAAUCAUUUGAUAUUUGACAAAUUUUAUUUUAAACUUUUCCAGAAAACAGCUCAUAGAGUUCUCAUUUACUUACCAAUGCCUACUGUGUAUACUGUUACAAAAUAUCUUUGAUUCCCCAGAACGGAUCUAAUUUCAAAUAUUAUAUCUCAUUGUCAUUCAUAUGUUUUGUCAGAUGAUAGGUCUUGAUAUUUAAUUUAAAAAUACAGUCAUACUCUGAGUCAUUUUGAUGCUGGGGACAUUUUUAUAUAAUACAUCUAACUCCCACUCAAACACUAAGUCAAUAUUAUCAUCCUAGAACUUAUGAAGGGAAGAAUGGGAAAAGGGGAGCAGCCAGGGACUGGGAGAGGCUGGGGGACAGGAUGAUGACCAAGCUUGGCACAGCACACAGCAGCAGUGCCGUGUCAGGCGAGAGGGAGCGAGAAGGCUCAGCUGGCCCUGGUAUGUCAGGCUCAGCUCUGACAUACCAUCAGAGCUAUGGCAGGUUGGGAAGGGCUCUAAGGAAAAAAUGUGGAAGGUUCCAGCAUCGUGGGAAAGACUUUGGAGUCAGGCACACAUGAGUUUGCACCACAACAAUGCCAUUUAUUAGCCACAUUAGUUUACAAAGUAUCUGCUCUAAGCCUCAGUUUCCUCAUUCCAAAUGGAGAUAUCAACACAUUACGGUUGUUUGGUGAGAUAAAAGCUCAUCUUCUGUAAUUAAAAAAAAAAAAAAAAGCAAUGAGGCUUUCAAAGAUUAGUAAGUCAUGUCAAAAUGGCAUGAGAGCCAACUUAAGAAAGCUCUCUUUGGCCAAAUUAUGACAAGUGAACAAACAGAAUAAUGACUGUAAGUGAAUCAACGGAAAUCCAUGCAUCCACCAUGAUACUCAAAAACAGAAAAGGGAAAUAAAACCCAACUUCUCAACUUCUGCAGAAGCUCUUAAACAAUCCCUUACUUUGAAAUUAGAAAGUAAAGGGGGAAAAAAAGUAGCAUCUUGUUUCUGUUUUUACCCAGGCACUAUAUUCCUGGGUAAUUAAAUAGCCCCAGUGGUUGAGCUAAAAGUUCUAAAAUUUACAAUAAAAGGCCACUUUAUAAAAGUAGAAAAAAUAAUAGAGAAAAACCUUUCAUAGAACUUGAAUGACAUUAUUAAAUCAGGCAAAGAUUAUCCAUUGAUUUUAAAACAUUAGAUGCAUGACUGACAUAUUUGUACUACUGCCAAAGUAUUGACCCUCAGAAUAUUCUCUGGUUGCAAGGAGAAAAACAAUGGGCUCAGGCUCUCAUUGCCCUAUCCAGAGGUCAAUCUUAACCUCACUAGUGGUGGGACAGCCAGAUACUGGGCAUCUAUUUCUAAGGUAAUGCAACCUGAAGUACCAACUUCACCUAUGAAGUAUUCUAGGCAAAAAUGUUUCGUGUGAAUUCAUCAAGACUUUGCAUACAAAUUCUACUUUAAGGGAAAUCAGGGGAUGGAGAAACAGAUCCAAUAAAACAACUAGACAAAUCCAAAAGGUAAGACAUUCUACAGGACAACUGAUCUGGUCUCUUCAACAAGCGUCCAAAAGAAAAAAGUGGUGCUAGCUGAAAACAAACUUAAAAGCAAAAUGCAAUGCAAUGAGUGGUCCUGUAUUGUAUACUGGUUUGGACUACCUUGUUAUAAUAAAAUCUGGGGAUCAAAUGGGAGAAAUUUUAAAAUCAUCUGCAGAGUAGAAGCAAUAAAAAAUUACUGAAACAGAAAAUGGAAUAGCACUAGUUGAACAAAGCAAGACACAAAAUAGUAUUUAUAGUCAUCUAAUUUUGAAUUACGGGGAAAACACACCCGCAGGUAUUCAUAUACGCAGGUCAUUAAAUGAUCCUGAGUGAUAUACACUCUGGCUUCAUGGUCGUGAUCUCUGGGCAGGAGGAAUGUGAAAUUUCUCUCCUUUCAUUUUUGUUUGUCUCAACGGUAUUCCUGCACUAGUCUUUGCUGAUAGUGCUUCUGUAAUGAUAAACGAUUUGUUGUUUGUCUGAAAAGUCCCUGUGUCCUAACAGGCUCACAGUGUUGCUCAGUGAGGCCAGGACAGUGACAGUGCUGAAUGCUUCCACCUGUGUGAGGGCUUGUCAUUCAUAAUGCAAGUGAGGACUUCGGAACUUCACCUGAUGAAUGGCAAGUUUCCUAGCAGGAAGUAAGAUGUGAAAAUCGGUGCUUGCGGGAAGGUUGAGCUAACAGACAAGCACAAGGUAAAUUCCGCAGAAGAGACAGAAGAGACCAGCUGGAAGAGAUCAAACGAAUUCUGCUGGAAGUGAGAAGGACUCAGCCGAGGCAGUGGCUCUGUGUGGCCAUGGAACAUCAUAAUCAUCUAAGAGUCCUUUCUAAGGAAGAGUCUGCAGAACUUCCCCACUGGCUGGGUACCAGGAGUGGUGGAAGGAUCACACAUGAGGCCAAGGUAUUAAGCUCCAAAGACUAAGAACAUCAAGAAAACCCGAAAGCCCUCCACACAGACAAACUGCAGGAGGACAAGGUACAUAAAGGAGAUUACAGUGGCCAGUGCUGUCAAACUUGGUGAAAAGAUGGACGAUGAUAUGGUUUGGAUGUUUGGUCUCCUCCAAAUCUCAGGGUGAGAUGUGACCUCCAAUGUUGGAGGUGGUUCUGGUGGAAGGUGUUUGGGUCAUGGGAAUGGAUCCUUCAUGGUUUGGUGCCCUCCCCACAGUAAUGAGUGAGUUCUCACUCUGUGAGUCCAAGUAAGAGCUGGUUGUUUAAAAGAGCCUGCCAUCCUAUUCACAAUAGCAAAGACUUGGAACCAACCCAAAUGUCCAUCAAUGAUAGACUGGAUUAAGAAAAUGUGGCACAUAUACACCAUGGAAUACUAUGCAGCCAUAAAAAAGGAUGAGUUCAUGUCCUUUGUAGGGACACGGAUGAAGCUGGAAACCAUCAUUCUGAACAAACUAUCGCAAGGACAGAAAACCAAACACUGCAUGUUCUCACUCAUAGGUGGGAAUUGAACAAUGAGAACACUUGGACAUAGGAUGGGGAACAUCACACACCGGGGGCUGUCGUUGGGUGGGGGGAGGGGGGAGGGAUAGCAUUAGGAGAUAUACCUAAUGUAAAUGACAAGUUAACGGGUGCAGCCCACCAACAUGGCACAUGUAUACAUAUGUAACAAACCUGCACAUUGUGCACAUGUACCCUAGAACUUAAAGUAUAAUAAAAAAAUAAAAGAGCCUGCCAACACUCACUUGCUCCUGCUCUUUCCCUGUGACACACCAGCUCCCCCUUUGCCUUCUAUCAUGAUUGGAAGCCUCUGAGGUCCUCACCAGAAGCAGAUGCUGGCACCAGGCUUCCUUGCAGCCUGCAGAACCAUGAGCCAGUUAAACCUCUUUUCUUUAUAAAUUACCCAGUCUCAGGUGUUCCUUUACAGGAAUGAAAACAGACUAAUAGAAAUGAUGAACAAGGUCAGUGAGAAAAAGAUCACUGGAUUUUAUUGAGAGGAAAUCUUAUCAGACAAUUCCAGUGAACGGAAUUUCAUCAAAAUGCUGAGGAUGUAGGCCAGAUGCCAGAAGGUUACGCUGGAGGAGCUUGCUCAAGAAAUUUAAAAAUCAUCUACGGAGAUGUCAGUUUAAAAACAGAGAAAAGGAAAGAAAAAGAAGGAAGAAAGUAUGUGUAGGAAUACUCAAAGUAGAUACAAUGUGAUCACAUUAAGUAGCAAUAUUGACAUCUCCUUUACAAUGAUUCUAAUGUAUAACUUAUGCUGCCUAGAAAAUUCUUAGUGUCACCAGGAGUUAAAUAAGAUAUCACUGGUAUUCACAAGAUACAAAGAUUACCAAAAGCAUGGAUAAGUCAUUUGACAAAGCAAAAGUUAUCAGAAGUUUAUACUGCAUGAUACAGGAAACCAUUUCCUGAAGUCUACAGUAAAUGUGUUCAUUUAUUUUUUGCUUUGUAAGAACAAGAACCCAAACUACAAUAUGUAGAAAGAUUGGAAACAUUCAUCACUAAAAGCAUCAUUUACAAAGAGAGUGCUAUGUAAAUCUCAUUAACACAGAAUUAAUGUUCAAGUGCUCUGAUCCAGAGGAAAUCGUUAAGAUUAAGAACUUUAACUUAAAUAAACAGAAAUUCUCAGAAGACUGCCACUUCACGGCCUACUUGAAAACAAGAAAUUUUAAAUCAUGAAUGCACUACAUGAACUAUUUUAAAAAUCAAAGAGAACAACUCAAAUGGAUUAAUGAGAAUACAGAUGAGGAGGAGGAAUCCCCACCCAGGAGCCCUCUUAAAUGUAGCUCAGCUGCCAUCCAGACAGCUAGUUCAGGCAGGCCUGGGCAACCUAAUUCGAAUGUGGGCUCCCGCUCACCACCCCUCCUACAGUCUCCAUCUCAGCUACCCAGAGUCACCAUCUGCCCAACCAUGCAACCAUUCUUGUCCUUUCACCUCACUCUCCAGAUGCUGAUUCCCACACAGUAUUACUGACAUUACCUAGGAGAAGUCUCUGACAAGUGGCCACUCUGGCCCACCCCCUCAUCCUCAGUCUUAUUUCCAACCCUCACCAUCUUCCCUAUGACUCACUGAACCGAUCCUUCACACAUUUUGUCAGAUUUAUUCCUAAGUGUGUCAUUUGUUUUGAGGCUGAAAAGGAUGUUACAUCAUGACCAGGUAAGGUUUAUCCCCAGAAUGCAAGGUUGGUUUAACAUUCUAAAACCAAUCCAUCUAAGUCACCACAUUAACAAAGAAAGAAAGAAAAAAUAUGAUCAUCUCAAAAGAUACAUAAUAAGCAUUCGGGAAAAUUCAGUAUCCUUUCCUAAUUUUUCAAAAAAAUUAUCAGUAAACUAGGACUAUAAGGUUCAGAAAGAUAAAACAAUUAUCUUUUAUGUUACAGAACUGCUUUUAAAGUCAGCCAAAGACUAAACAACAUCUAAUUCUUUUUCUGCUUGCAGUCUUACGUUUGCUUUCUUGCUUUUCUUUCUUGUCUUACAAUUUUCCUGAGGGGCUAUUAUUUAUACAGCAAUAAUUUUCUUUAUCAUAGGAUAUCUUAUGCCUUGAAAUGAAUGUCAGAAAAUUCUCUGUAUCCUGUCUUCCUUGGCAGAACAAGGAAAAAAAUCUAGGAUAUUCAAGUUUUGAUUUACAAAACUAAUAAAUUCUGGCUAGGGGUGAGUCACAGUGUUAUUACUCCCUUACGGUCUUAAGGUGGCUCCACAGUCUGCAUUAAGGAGUCUGGAUCUUUAAAGUGGCAUUCAGGAUUCUUCACUUGUGGUCUCACCUUACAUGCUCUGACCUCAUCUUUUAUGGCCCUACUUCAACAAUAUUGCCCCAAAUACAUACAUACAUACACACACACAUACAUAUACAUACAUAUAUAUAUAUAUAUAUUUAAAAAGCCCGUUUCUCCUUGUUUUUGCUGAGGCUGGUCCUUUGGCUUAGAAUGCCUUUCCACCACUCCCUGCGCCUUUUUGCCUGCCUCCUUCCCAAGCCGUCUGUGACCCUUUUAGUGGGAACAAGCAUCUGUCGAGCACCCGUCAUGUGCCAGACAGUCUGCUACGCAUGGGGAAAGAUGAAAGGAAAGCACUUCUGCCUUCACGGAGCUUGAAGUCUAGUGGGGUGACAGACAAGGACAGUGCCAACGACUCCGCCCAGUGAUGAUGAGACUGCACCUGGAGAAGGCAGGCAGGAGCCGUGCGUCUCUUCAGCUCUCAGGAAGCGGAGCAUUCCCUGCAGUUGGGUUCUGUGCAACCUCCUUCACCAUAAGAACUCCUGUUGACAUACUAAGGAUGGUCUCCAUUUCAAAGAUGGCCUGAAGUAACCCGUCCACUCUAACAAAGCGGGUAAAAAGCUGAGGUUCAUUACAGAUCUGUUUGAAGCCAAAUAAAUAUAAGGUUUUCCCUCCUUCAUUCUGCCUGUUUCAGUAGUGGAGAUAUUUCUAGGGGUGGGGGAUAGAAUUCUUUUUGUUUGACGUUGUCUCUAUUUAAACUGCUUUGGAUUUUUUAGAAACUAAUAAUGUCACCUAAAUGUCCUUACCCAAAGCAAACAUAUUGGCUUUCUGUCAGUCAUUCUCAAUAGCAAAUCUAACACAAUUUUCCUGUUUAGCAAGAAAUGCAAUAAAAGCACACAUCUCCUUCCACUGUCUGGUUUUUUUCCUACUGUCUUCACAUGGAUCAUGCUGAACGCACUGGUGGCGGCUGGUUUUAAGAGAAUAGUUCGUGAGUCCCACCUAGCACUGCAAAGAUUCCCCAGAGUCCCUGCGGACCCUGCGGAUGAACUACCUGGUGCUUCGCGGUGACAGCGUCUUGCAAAGAUUUCAGGGUUUCUGAGAAUCCUGGUGUUUUGCUGCCACGAAUCAUAACCUGGGAGAAUACUGAAGCGGGGCUGGCAGCUUUAUACAUUUGCUAGACAGGUGUUUCUAGGCUUCCUCCAAAUAAGCAUGUCAAUGCCUAGAUUAUUUGGAUGUUUAUGUUAAAAUUUAAUCUCAGGCUGGGCACAGUGGCUCAUGCCUUAAUCCCAGCACUUUGGGAGGCCAAGGCGGGAGGAUCACGUGAGGUCAGGAGUUUGAGACCAUCCUGGCCAACAUGGAGAAACCCCAUCUCUACUAAAAAUACAAAAUUAGCCGAGUGUGGUGCACACGCAUGUAGUCCCAACUACUUGGGAGGCGGAGGCAGGAGAAUCGCUUGAACCCAGAAGGCAGAGGUUGCAGUGUGCCGAGAUCGCACCGUUGCACUCCAGCCUGGGCGACAAAAAUGAAACUCUGUCUCAAAAAAAAAAAAAAAAUUAAUCUCAAAUGUUUAUUAAAAUUCCUUCUCAGGAAUUCAGGUAUUAUCAGUUAGUUGCUGAGGCACCCCAAACUAAGCUACUUUGAGAGAGCUUACCAUGUACCAUUUCUAUGAGACACACCGGAAGUGUCCGUAAGGAUGCUUGUGGUCCAGUCCUAAAGACAACAAAAAAUGUCAAAACAAAUUGAAAAAUAUUUCAUCUCUUAAGGUGGUGGUCCUCAAACUGUGGUCUCCACACCAGAAGUAGCGGCAGCACCUGGGGGCUUAUUCUACAUGCAAACUCCCAGGCCCUCUGCAAAUGGGGUCCAGCAAGCUGUGGCAUAACCAGCCUUCCAGGUGAUGCUGAUUCUGGUUAACGCAGAUGCCACUGCCUUAAGUUGCUGGCAUGAUCAGAUGUAGCAGCCUAUGAUCAACAGGAAGACACACUGGAAGAGCAGAGCAAUUCUUUAGAGGUCAUUUCAUUUGCUUUCCUGUUCCCUCAUCCAACGUUUAAUGACAGCCUGCUCCAUGUCAGCCCCUGUAGCAGGCACUGGAAGUGCAGAGGUUCCUGUGGUAUCCCACUCUGAUCCAUGGACACAAAGUCUACUGGGGAAACCACACAUACAUGCCAUCGGCCCUUGAACAACAUGGGUCUGAGUUGAGCAGGUCUGCUUAGAAGCAGAUUUUUUUUUCAACCAAAGGUGCAACAAAAACACAGUAUUGGUGGGAUGUGAAACCCACAUAUUUGCAGGGCCAACUUUUCAUAUGCAGGGGUUCUGCAGGGCCAACUGCAGGACUAGAGUAUGUGUGGAUUUGGGUGUAUGGAAGAUCCUGGAACCAAUCCCCCGUGUAUACCAAGGGGAGACCAUCAUUUAAAACGCUGGCAGUUGGUGUUGGUGUUGUUCAGACAGUGUUUGUUGCUCAGCACAGCAAACCAUCACUGACAUAGGCCCUGAAGGGGCCCCGUGGACACACUCUGCCUCUUCCGUGGCAUCUCUGUGGUGAGGCCUCUGCAGACGAUCCGCCUAAAACAACGAGCAGGAGUCACUCCCGUGUCUUUCCUUGUUUGUCCACGUGGUAUUUGUUUGCUGCUUGUCUCUUCUGCUGGAUGUCAGCUCAGGAACGUCGCCUUGUUCACUGUUACGCCCCCAGCAUUCAGAACUGGGCAUGCUCUAGGUGCUCACUGGAUGUUUGCUGAAGGAAUGGAUUACAUGAAAUGUCACAGGGGUUCCUGGAGACAGUGAUCAUCAUGCAAGGCAAAGGACAGGAACUCAAGGAACAGGCCGUCCCCCUUCUCUGUCCUUAACAUCUGUGUUAGAAUUCCACAUGCAGCAGACUCUCUCUGCAUCUCUUACUUCUACAUUUCUUAUUAAGUUUUGAAAUUGUUGAGCAGAUUAAAGGAUUCCUUUGAAGCUUUUAUGCUUAAACUUUGUGGAAAGAAAUUCCCUGUCUCUGUAACUAUUACUGGGACAGAUUAGAAAUAAUUUGGAACUGAAUUGGAUUUGCUAUUUUGUAAGCUUUUCUUAUCUACCAAGGCUAAUAGCAGAAACUUAACUCCUUACAAUAGCCCCGGAGAAAGUAUUAUUAUCUGCAUUUCACAGAUUGGAAACUGAGGGUCAGAUAGGCUAAAGGGUUUAUACUCCACUGCUCUAUAAAUAUGGUUUGAAUUGAGACAGAAUGUUUUGUAUCCCAUAAUAAGUUGGGAAACUUAGAAAUUAUACGUAAAGGGGCAGCAGGAUAUCACGGAAACAGCGUGAACUUUGGAUUCAGACAUAUCCUGAUUUGAAUUUUAACUUCUACUUAGUAACUGCUUGACCUUGGGCUAACUUAAUCUUUCUAAGCUGUUCAGUCAUUUCCACUUGAAUGAUGGGAAGUUGUAGUCAUGAGGGAAGUAAUCUGUAAACACUGUCACCGCGCUAAAUCUCCUCGGCGUCACAUCCCGAGCCUCUGUCUCGCUCUUCUUCUGGCCUCGGCCUGUUCGGCUGCCUGCCAUGCCUGGGCGUGCCAGCCUAGCAGAGGGGCCGGAACCGUGAAUUCUGCCAUCAGCUGGCCCAGGGCCGAGCCUGCCUCUGCCGCUGAACUACUGAGGUGAUUCAGGGCAAGGCACCCAGCAGGGCCACGCCGCUGUCUUCAUCUAGAAAACAGGAAUGCUGGGAGGGACCCCCGCCUCACAGGUCUGUGGUGAACGCGCACCGUCAAUGCAGAGGAAACUCCAGGCGCAGGGCCCAGCACCAAGUGAGCAUCGGAAAAUGCUGGACAGGACACUGUGGCGGCUGCUGCUGCUGGAGGGAAGUGGGGGGUUCCUCCACUCUCUCUGGACUUCCCCAUCCCCCCGUCUGCCUGAAGAAUCCCAGCCGGUUCUCCGGGAAGCCUUCUCUCUUCCAUGUCCCCCCACGCCCCCGCUAGCUUCAUCUCCCUCCCUUGCCUAAGCCCUUUCUCUCCUGGAUUCCCUGUACCCGCACCCCCUUUCCCACCCAGCAAACCGACGAUUACAUGGCUGUCUUGGGAACAAACAGAUGAUGAAGGCACUGCCUGUCCCCAAGGAAGGCCACAGUCCCAACUGCACACCUCUACGGCAAGAGCAGCGCUGGGCACCAUUGCUUCUGUGGAUGUUCUCUCCCCCGGCUCUACUGCAAGAUUUUCAAGGGCAGAAGCAUGUCUUAUGCAAGCCUGUGGCCAUGCUCCUCACACAAAUCAGGCUGCUGUAAGUGUUCAAGGAGUAACUGGCAUAAUACGUGUUUUCCUCGCCGCUGAUGGGAACAGCCAUUCUGCUGCUCCCCAGGCCCCGAAGGGCUCGUGGAAACCAUUUUUAAUUUGUAACACAGCUUGAUUAAGAAGCAAUGCUAUUUGUUGUAUAUCCUAGGGUUUUUUUUUUUUUAAAAACUUGAAUACAUUUGCUCCUAAGUUGUCUUUACAGAUUCUUUUGGUCCAUUUGCAACUGUAAUUAUUAAAAUGUAAAAGUUAGCUGGGUGUGGUGGCUCACACCUGCAGCCCUAGUGCUUUGGGAGACCAAGGCAGGAGGUUCACUUGAGGCCAGGAGUUCAAGACCAACCUGGUCAUCAAAGCCAGACCACAUCUCUACAACAAAUUAAAAAUAAAAAAAAGUAUUUUUUUUAAAAUUAGCUGGAAGGCCAGGCAUGGUGGCAUAUGCCUGUAAUUCCAGCACUUUGGUAGACCGAGGCAGGUGAAUUACUUGAGCCCAGGUGUUCGAGACCAGCCUGGGCAACAUGUUGAAAUCCUGUCUCUGCAAAAAAUACAAAACUUAGCCAGGUGUGGUAGCACGCACCUGUAGUCCCAGCUACUUGAGUCGCUGAGGCAGGAGAAUCACUUGAGCCCAGGAGGUCAAGGCUACAGUGUGCUGUGAUCACACCACUGCAUUCUAGCCUGAGCAACAGAGCACAACCCUGUCUCUUAAGAAAAAAAUAUAAAAGUAUAUAGAAACUUCAUAAACAUCCCACAAUUCUUUAUUUUAAAAGCUAAAGUAACGUAUUUUACAUGACGUAUCUGAAUGUUGUUAGAAUCCCAAAAAACCCAGAGUUAAGCUUUAUUCUGAUCGAAUGAGAUAAAACAUACUUUACUGCCUUGCUUUGCCUCACUAAUGAAGAGAAUCUUCAGGCAACCCCAUGGAGAGGGGCUGUCUGGCCUCACUGUCUGGAAUAUCCGGGUCAAGAAAUGUGUACAGAAGGCAUGCUUCACAAGCCCAUGGCCACGAGGCGCUUACAGUGAUGGGGAGCUCAGCAAUAUAAGCAAAGGACAACAGUAACAGUGUGGGAGGUGCUACCAUCCAGGUGGGAACGGACAGCAGACGAGGACACAGGAAGAAGGGCCUGACUCUGGGUGUGCCACUUGCGGAGGAAGGCUCAGCAGACCAGGUGACCUCAGAGCUCACCCAGGAGGACAGAGGAGCAUGCCAUGAAUGAAAGGAAGUGAGCAAGAAGGCCCAGCCAAGCAAAGAGCCUGCGCUCAGGACCAGCAAUGCAAGAAGACACGCCUCAUCCAGCCAGUUACAGCUGCCUGAUGUGUCCUCCAUAAGCACAUAUUCACAUCUACUAUGAGUAAAAGCUGAGAGUGCAUCAGUCCUUAAAAAGGACAGCUCCUUACCACCUGGAUGUGAUGACCAAGGCCCCAGCCUUCCCUCUGCGUUUGGACCACGCAGAGCCCAUCUCUCUCCUGGGCCUCUGCUGAGCCGCUCCUCAGGCUGGAAUGAGUUCCCCUCCCUUCGUGCAGCCAGCUCUCUCUUGCCGCUUGACCUUAGUCUAAGUGCUACCUCCUCACCCAGCUUCAAGCAGCCACCACUCUCUGCCACAAGACCCUACUUAAACCUCCGAGGAGCCACACUCUGCCAUCUGGGUUUUUUUCUUACUUGUUAACAGUAUCUAUCGAUUGACGGGUCUAACCCACGAAUCAUCUUUAAGUCCUCUCUGCAUCUCACGUCGCAUGUCCAACCCAAAAGGAAAUCCUGCUAGCUCUGAGAGUAUGUCCAGGGAUGGCUUUCGUGGUUCGCACCAACUCAGAGUCACUGUAGUUUUCCUCCUGGCUCUUCUCCCCCGUUGCCUUCACUCCUUUCCCUAAGUCAACUCCCCACACAGCUCGCAGAGUCUCCUGAGGAAAGGGGGCUCACACCCUGCCCCUAGCACUCAAGAGGAAAUGUCAAAGUCUGCACUGGUCUCCAAGGCCUCUGCAUGAUACACCAUUUAACAGAAGAGAAGACCUGGCGGAAUGAAUGAGAUAUUUGACUGCAGUUUUAUAUAUUCUCAAGAACGUAAAGAUACUGCCUCCUGAGGAGUUAUCUUCAAGUAGCUGCAGCUCCCUAACAGAACCCAGCUGGCAUGCGGGAGAAGUCUACCUAUGAGUAUGGCGAGUAUCACAGACUUCCAGUGUAAACCAGGCCAAGAGAACAAACCACCAGAGGCAACUUGUGCAAGAAAUCACGUUCAUACUGAUUUUGACUUAAGAUACAUGCAACAGCAGAGACAAAAGAGCAAAUGGUAGAAAGUGAGGUUGGUAAGAUGUGGACUCACAUCAGUAUGACACUUUAUGCUUUCUAAACUUGCCCUCGUUUUAUUUAUUCUUUCUUUUUAAGUUCCAGAGUACAUGUGCAGGAUGUGCAGGUUUAUUCCAUAGGUAAACGUGUGCCAUGGUGGUUUGCUGCACCUAUCAACCCAUCACCCACGUAUUAAACCCAGCAUGCAUUAGCUAUUUUUCCUAAUGCUCUCCCUCCCCUCACUCCACCCCACAACAGGCCCCAGCGUGUGUUGUUCCCCUCCCUGUGUCCAUGUGUUCUCAUUGUUCAGCUUCCACUUGUAAGACAGAACAUGCGGUGUUUGGUUUUCUGCUCCUGCGUUAGUUUGCUGAGGAUAAUGAAACUUGUCCCCAUUUUAAAGAACAGCAAUAAACAACCUGCUCGCAGUCA